rnacentral:tRNA from 1 species
GGGUUGCAGGUGUUAGCGGCAACAUUUCUCCCUUUUAAGGAGCAAGUUCAGCGUUCAAGUCGCUGGCGACCCACCA